rnacentral:tRNA from 1 species
GGGAAUGUGACUUAAUGGUAGAGUGCUUGCCUACCAUGCAUGAAGCCCUAGGUUCAGUUCCUCAGUACCA